rnacentral:tmRNA from 2 species
GAAUUUGCAUUUUUUGAUGAUCUAGGCUAAUGUUAGGGCGUUGGGAAACCAACUAUGGCAAUAAACGACCUACAGAAUAGGCGUAUCGGACCCGGGGGCGGAGCCCGGCACCUCCACCACGAAACAUUUAUUUGGGGGUGAACUUAGGAUCGACGAGCGUAAUAAAGGUAUGUUCUUUGCUCGGCAUUGUACCGCCGUUAUCGGGCUAAUCAUAUAAAUGUCAACGAUAACAAGACAUUUGCUAACUCAAACGUUGCCCCAGUAGCUUUGGCUGCUUAAGCAAUUACGGUUUAGCGCGGUUAGGGGGCGCCGGGCAACAGAAGCCCCCACU